rnacentral:rRNA from 1 species
AGGACGAACGCUGGCGGCGUGCUUAACACAUGCAAGUCGAGCGGAAAGGCCCUUCGGGGUACUCGAGCGGCGAACGGGUGAGUAACACGUGAGCAACCUGCCCUUAGCUCUGGGAUAGCUCCGGGAAACCGGAAUUAAUACCGGAUAUGACCUAGGCCGACAUCGGCCGUGGUGGAAAGUUUUUCGGCUAGGGAUGGACUCGCGGCCUAUCAGCUAGUUGGUGGGGUAAUGGCCUACCAAGGCGACGACGGGUAGCCGGCCUGAGAGGGCGACCGGCCACACUGGGACUGAGACACGGCCCAGACUCCUACGGGAGGCAGCAGUGGGGAAUCUUGCGCAAUGGGCGAAAGCCUGACGCAGCGACGCCGCGUGGGGGAUGAAGGCCUUCGGGUUGUAAACCCCUUUCAGCAGGGACGAAGCGAAAGUGACGGUACCUGCAGAAGAAGCGCCGGCUAACUACGCGCUAGCAGCCGC